rnacentral:ncRNA from 1 species
AACAAUUCCUGUCUGGCAUCUGUUUUUUGCAUUUCUGUUUUUAGGUAUAGCUGACACGGCUGAACACCGGCUAACUCCGUGCCAGCAGCCGCGGUAAUACGGAGGGUGCGAGCGUUAAUCGGAAUGACUGGGCGUAAAGGGCAUGUAGGCGGAUAAUUAAGUUAGGUGUGAAAGCCCUGGGCUCAACCUAGGAAUUGCACUUAAAACUGGUUAACUAGAGUAUUGUAGAGGAAGGUAGAAUUCCACGUGUA